AGUGAACGCUGGCGGUAGGCCUAACACAUGCAAGUCGAACGGCAGCACAGUAAGAGCUUGCUCUUACGGGUGGCGAGUGGCGGACGGGUGAGGAAUACAUCGGAAUCUACUUUUUCGUGGGGGAUAACGUAGGGAAACUUACGCUAAUACCGCAUACGACCUACGGGUGAAAGCAGGGGAUCUUCGGACCUUGCGCGAUUGAAUGAGCCGAUGUCGGAUUAGCUAGUUGGCGGGGUAAAGGCCCACCAAGGCGACGAUCCGUAGCAGGUCUGAGAGGAUGAUCAGCCACACUGGAACUGAGACACGGUCCAGACUCCUACGGGAGGCAGCAGUGGGGAAUAUUGGACAAUGGGCGCAAGCCUGAUCCAGCCAUACCGCGUGGGUGAAGAAGGCCUUCGGGUUGUAAAGCCCUUUUGUUGGGAAAGAAAAGCAGCAGGUUAAUACCCCGCUGUUCUGACGGUACCCAAAGAAUAAGCACCGGCUAACUUCGU
rnacentral:rRNA from 1 species